GGGCUCCAGACAACCAGAGCUACAUUUUGAGACCCUGUCUUGAAAACAAAACAAAACAAAACAAAACAAAACAAAACAGUGGGUUAGCGUGCCUGCCACCAAGAUUGACAACUUGAAUUCAAUUCCUGGAGCCAAGGACACUAGACUUCUCUGCUAAAAGGCACAGAAGCCAUCGACCUUGUGUGUUGUUAACAUGGUCCCCACUGGUUCCUUCCAAAGUGGAGCUCUGGGAGGCAGUUUGGUUUUUGCCUAUAGAGACACCUACAAAAUGGUGUGUUUUGGGUUUCUCUCUUACUUUCUUUUAAUUUCUCUCUCUCCUUUUCUCUCUUCUUUCUUAAAUUUUCUUUGAACUUCUUUAAUUUUCUUCUUCCAUUACUUUCUGUGUGGGGGAACUCAAGAUUUUAGAUAGACUGCAGCUGUUAGCCCUGGUACUGUUAGCAAGAGAUUGCGCCUCUUGGAGGAAAAAGGAAAAGCCAAGGACGGGGAGGGGCGGGGGAGGGGGGAUGAUGAUCAAUGCACUCGAUUCAAUGCAGGGAGGGGCUCCCUCUUCUAGUCGAGGCUGCAGACACACAAGUGUUAUUCUGUCCGUUGAAGUUUUUUAGUUCUUUGUGUUCUUUUCUGACUACUUGAGAAAGCCAUUAAGAAAAGAGAUAUAUGCAUUGGCCGGGAACCGAACCCGGGCCUCCCGCGUGGCAGGCGAGAAUUCUACCACUGAACCACCAAUGCCUUACUGUAAAAGUGGCCUUUCCUGGCUGAGUUCAGUCUCUGAGGGUCUAGCUCACGAAGCAUCGUUAUUCCUGAAAUCCUGCACCUGGAGCUCUGGAUGGAUACAACAUCGUUCGUAUCUGACCUAAGUUGUUGAGGAGAAAUGCGUGCCCUCUCCGCUUUGACCUCCUGCGCCUGCCGGCUUUUUCAUCUUCCUACCGGCCGGAAUCCGAAGCAGCCCUGAGUGUCCUCAACCGCCCACCCAGACCGCCAGAAGCCAGGAAGCAGAGGGUGGAUGAAAGCAAAAGGACCCCUCUACUUAUCAAUCAGGUGCCAGCCAAGAGCCGGAGGACCCACCUAAGUACAGAGGUCAAGAACACCUACAACACUCACAAGGCCUGCAGGAAGGGUCAUGUGCCCCUGAGGCAGAUAAAGUACCAGACCGAGGAGUUGGAUUCCAUCCGGAGGGAGCUGAGCAAGAUCAAAGCCCAGGUGGACAGCCUGUUGAAGAGUCUGGAGUCCAUGGAGCAGGAGACAGACCAGCACGUGGGGCAGGUGAAGAAUCCAGCAUCGGACUAGUGUAGCCAGUAGGAGGUGGGAAACCUUCCAGACUUUGUUCAGCUGGUACUUAAGUGGCCUGUUUUCUUGCCUUGUAUUUUUGGAAGUCACUCCCUUGAAACUUGAAGUCACCUUUCUGGCGCUUGGGCAUUGAAAGUGCUGAAGUGCUGGCGUUGGUGGCGCACGCCUUUGAUCCCAGCACUCAGGAGGCAGAGGCAGGCAGAUUUCUGGGUUCGAGGCCAGCCUGGACUACAGAGUGAGUUCCAGGACAGCCAGGGCUACACAGAGAAACCCUGUCUCAAAAAAAAAAAAAAAAAAAAAAAAGUGCUGAAGCACCCAGGAAACCUCCCAGUGGUUGUGGAUUUAACUCCUGAGGUCUUUUCCAUGAGUCCUGCUGAGGGCAGGGUAGGGAAGCCCCAUAGAUUAGCAGUAUAGUAUCUCUUUAUUUUCAUUCAACUGUGGUGGUCUUGCAGGAGGCACCUGACAGGGCCCUGAACCCAGUGAACACUGUUGGCUCUCACAAAAUGAAGGUUGCUUCCUUGCCCACGCACCACUAAACUUGGUAGUGUGUCAAUUUUUCUGCAGCCACAGUAGUGAAACACACUUGCAUCCCUACAGUGACACCAAGCUGUAAGGUUGUGUGUGCUAACCUAACCAACCUCUUGUGCUGGGAUUAAAGGCGUGUACCACCACCA